AGAGUUUGAUCAUGGCUCAGGAUGAACGCUAGCGAUAGGCCUAACACAUGCAAGUCGAGGGGCAGCAUAGAGGUAGUAAUACUUUGGUGGCGACCGGCGCACGGGUGAGUAACACGUAUGCAACCUGCCUUCAACACGGGGAUAACCCGAUGAAAGUCGGACUAAUAUUCGAUAACACAGGGGCACCGCAUGGUGAUAUUUGUUAAAGAUUAAUUGGUUGAAGAUGGGCAUGCGCAUGAUUAGUUAGUUGGUAGGGUAACGGCCUACCAAGGCAACGAUCAUUAGGGGUUCUGAGAGGAAGAUCCCCCACACUGGUACUGAGACACGGACCAGACUCCUACGGGAGGCAGCAGUGAGGAAUAUUGGUCAAUGGGCGAGAGCCUGAACCAGCCACGUCGCGUGCAGGAAGAAUGUCCUAUGGAUUGUAAACUGCUUUUGUAGGGGAAUAAUUGUAUCCACGUGUGGAUAUUUGCAUGUACCUUACGAAUAAGGAUCGGCUAACUCCGUGCCAGCAGCCGCGGUAAUACGGAGGAUCCGAGCGUUAUCCGGAUUUAUUGGGUUUAAAGGGUGCGUAGGCGGACUUAUAAGUCAGCGGUGAAAUUUUGCAGCUUAACUGCAAACGUGCCGUUGAAACUGUAGGUCUUGAGUGUAGAUAAGGUAGGCGGAAUGCGUUGUGUAGCGGUGAAAUGCAUAGAUAUGACACAGGACCCCGAUUGCGAAGGCAGCUUACCGGGUUACCACUGACGCUGAUGCACGAAAGCGUGGGGAUCAAACAGGAUUAGAUACCCUGGUAGUCCACGCAGUAAACGAUGAUUACUCGCUGUUUGCGAUAUACAGUAAGCGGCCAAGCGA
rnacentral:rRNA from 1 species